ACGUAGGUCCCGAGCGUUGUCCGGAUUUAUUGGGCGUAAAGCGAGCGCAGGCGGUUUAAUAAGUCUGAAGUUAAAGGCAGUGGCUUAACCAUUGUUUGCUUUGGAAACUGUUAAACUUGAGUGCAGAAGGGGAGAGUGGAAUUCCAUGUGUAGCGGUGAAAUGCGUAGAUAUAUGGAGGAACACCGGUGGCGAAAGCGGCUCUCUGGUCUGUAACUGACGCUGAGGCUCGAAAGCGUGGGGAGCAAACAG
rnacentral:rRNA from 1 species